UACGUAGGGGUCGAGCGUUGUCCGGAGUUACUGGGCGUAAAGCGCAUGCAGGCGGCUCAUUACGCACGGCGUGAAAGCCCCCGGCUCAACCGGGGAGGGUCGUCGUGUACGGGUGAGCUUGAGGGUAUCAGGGGCUGGUGGAAUUCCCGGUGUAGUGGUGAAAUGCGUAGAGAUCGGGAGGAACACCUGUGGCGAAGGCGGCCAGCUGGGAUACACCUGACGCUGAGAUGCGAAGGCGUGGGGAGCGAACGGGAUUAGAAACCCUGUAGUCC
rnacentral:rRNA from 1 species